ensembl:lncRNA
GGGGUGUCGUCCACCCGCCUGUAAUCAGGGUCUGGGUGCGCGAGCGUUUGUGCUCUGCUGGCAGCCUGUGUGGGGUGACCGCCCCGUUAGCGGGGUGUGGGUCGAGGUGCCCCGGACUGGGAGAGAAGGAGCCUCUCCCGGCCGUAGGGAUGGGGGCUGCCCUGUAAGUCAGGGAGCAACCGUGCCCCGGAGUCCCAGGCCCUUUGCGUUGGAGGCAGUGGCUGGGGGCCCCCUGUAAGCAGGGAAGCUGGCUCUUUGGCCGCUGCUUUUUGUACGCCCAGCCCCAUUUGCCCAGCCUGCCCGCCUCUGUGAUCCCCCGCAGCACCGGCUGGAAGUCCGCCGCGCGUCAGUGAGGAGCUGCUGCAGAAGAAAGAAGAAGCAGCGGCGUGGGGACCUGGGCGGCAGGAGCGAGCAAGAAGAGGAUGCGGAAGCGUGCAGAUGCGGGGGGGAAGGAGAGAGGCUCCCUGGGCAAAGCACCUGUCCCGUUAGCGGGGCCGCAGUCGCAUUUGAGUUGAGCGUUGCCGGCGCCUUUGGCGACCCGGCCGGCUUUGUGCUGGGCGACCUCCCUGUAAGCAGGGCUCGGGUCUUUGCUGUAGUUGGCCUUUUGCCUUGCUGCUCCUAGGGCUGCCUGGGGAGCGUGGCCCCCUGUAACGGAGGGCGAGAGCCACCUCUCCGCACCUGAGUGGGAAAUGGAGCUCGCCGGACCCUGAGGCCACCCUGUAAGCAGGGUAGUGCCGCUUCCCUGCCCCUCUUUGUCCUCCGGCCCCUCGGCAUCGUUGCCUGGUGGUGGCCUGUCAAUGCGACGGCCCCGUACUCGGGGUGCGCGCCACGGCAUUUGGCCUUUGGCUUUACCCGAGGAGCCCCUUGGCACGUUGAGGUCUGUGGCCUCCGUGCAGCGUAGGGACAGGUCACAGGCUCUUGUCUGUUGCUUGUGGUUGUGGGUUUAUUCCCAGGUGUUGGCUGCGCUGGGUUGUCCUUCCCUUCUGGAAAGUCGCGCCUGCGUGUGUGCGUUCCCCUUCCUUUCCUUGUUUGCGUUUGUGGAGCGACUGAGCGACUGAGCUUUCCCUUUAGGCCUCCCCAGAGACGGCUGCAGCUUAGCUUUGACUUCCCGGGGGGGAACGGAGGACUUUGGUGCAUGCCGCAAGAGGGGUGUUCCCUGCUAGUCCCGCGAGCGCAGCGAGUGUCCUGUCUUCCUCCUUUUUACUUAGUCCAGAUCAGAGCCACGCGGUAGUUGUGUGGCCGAGGCCGCCCUGUAGCCAGGGCUUGGGCCUGUCCUUGCGUGGCCGCCUGUUCUGCUGGCGGCGUGGCAGCCCUGUAGUCGGGGUGUGUGUCCCAAGCUUAGGAGCCCUCUGUCCCUUGAGCAGCCCGCCCGCCCGCCCUGUACUCAGGUGUGGGGAGGCUGCAGCGUUGCAGCCGGCUGCUUUAGCCAUCCAGCUGGUGGGAAUGACCCCUCCCUGUCCCGUCAGAGGGUGCAGGUUGAGGUGCUGCUUGCGUGUGGGGUGACCUCCCCGCUCGGUGGGUCGAGGCUGCUCCCUGGGUUCCCCAAGAGAAGACGUUGGUGAUGUUCUGCUGCUGCCGGGCGGGCCCGCCUGUAGCUCAGGCGUUGGCGGGAGCCUCGUGCUCCGCGGGGCUUGUUGGAGAGGGUGAGGUGCGGGGGUACGGUCCUGUAGGCAGGGCUGUGUGUGCCCCCCGUGUGUGCUUGGUGAGCUGUGUUCCGAGAGACCCCGCCCGUACUCGGGUGGGAAUGUGGCCCCGGCCUUUCAGAGGCACGGGGCUGCGAGGUGUGGGCUUGGGCUUGCGCCCUCCCUGGAAGUUGAGGCUGGGAUCCCGACUGCGGCCUUUGGCCGUGCCGCCCCGCUGCCUGGCUGCUGAGAGUUGUUCCUGCCGCUGGGGGGGAAACCGAGCUCUGUGGCUCCAGGGGUGUCGUCCACCCGCCUGUAAUCAGGGUCUGGGUGCGCGAGCGUUUGUGCUCUGCUGGCAGCCUGUGUGGGGUGACCGCCCCGUUAGCGGGGUGUGGGUCGAGGUGCCCCGGACUGGGAGAGAAGGAGCCUCUCCCGGCCGUAGGGAUGGGGGCUGCCCUGUAAGUCAGGGAGCAACCGUGCCCCGGAGUCCCAGGCCCUUUGCGUUGGAGGCAGUGGCUGGGGGCCCCCUGUAAGCAGGGAAGCUGGCUCUUUGGCCGCUGCUUUUUGUACGCCCAGCCCCAUUUGCCCAGCCUGCCCGCCUCUGUGAUCCCCCGCAGCACCGGCUGGAAGUCCGCCGCGCGUCAGUGAGGAGCUGCUGCAGAAGAAAGAAGAAGCAGCGGCGUGGGGACCUGGGCGGCAGGAGCGAGCAAGAAGAGGAUGCGGAAGCGUGCAGAUGCGGGGGGGAAGGAGAGAGGCUCCCUGGGCAAAGCACCUGUCCCGUUAGCGGGGCCGCAGUCGCAUUUGAGUUGAGCGUUGCCGGCGCCUUUGGCGACCCGGCCGGCUUUGUGCUGGGCGACCUCCCUGUAAGCAGGGCUCGGGUCUUUGCUGUAGUUGGCCUUUUGCCUUGCUGCUCCUAGGGCUGCCUGGGGAGCGUGGCCCCCUGUAACGGAGGGCGAGAGCCACCUCUCCGCACCUGAGUGGGAAAUGGAGCUCGCCGGACCCCGAGGCCACCCUGUAAGCAGGGUAGUGCCGCUUCCCUGCCCCUCUUUGUCCUCCGGCCCCUCGGCAUCGUUGCCUGGUGGUGGCCUGUCAAUGCGACGGCCCCGUACUCGGGGUGCGCGCCACGGCAUUUGGCCUUUGGCUUUACCCGAGGAGCCCCUUGGCACGUUGAGGUCUGUGGCCUCCGUGCAGCCUAGGGACAGGUCACAGGCUCUUGUCUGUUGCUUGUGGUUGUGGGUUUAUUCCCAGGUGUUGGCUGCGCUGGGUUGUCCUUCCCUUCUGGAAAGUCGCGCCUGCGUGUGUGCGUUCCCCUUCCUUUCCUUGUUUGCGUUUGUGGAGCGACUGAGCGACUGAGCUUUCCCUUUAGGCCUCCCCAGAGACGGCUGCAGCUUAGCUUUGACUUCCCGGGGGGGAACGGAGGACUUUGGUGCAUGCCGCAAGAGGGGUGUUCCCUGCUAGUCCCGCGAGCGCAGCGAGUGUCCUGUCUUCCUCCUUUUUACUUAGUCCAGAUCAGAGCCACGCGGUAGUUGUGUGGCCGAGGCCGCCCUGUAGCCAGGGCUUGGGCCUGUCCUUGCGUGGCCGCCUGUUCUGCUGGCGGCGUGGCAGCCCUGUAGUCGGGGUGUGUGUCCCAAGCUUAGGAGCCCUCUGUCCCUUGAGCAGCCCGCCCGCCCGCCCUGUACUCAGGUGUGGGGAGGCUGCAGCGUUGCAGCCGGCUGCUUUAGCCAUCCAGCUGGUGGGAAUGACCCCUCCCUGUCCCGUCAGAGGGUGCAGGUUGAGGUGCUGCUUGCGUGUGGGGUGACCUCCCCGCUCGGUGGGUCGAGGCUGCUCCCUGGGUUCCCCAAGAGAAGACGUUGGUGAUGUUCUGCUGCUGCCGGGCGGGCCCGCCUGUAGCUCAGGCGUUGGCGGGAGCCUCGUGCUCCGCGGGGCUUGUUGGAGAGGGUGAGGUGCGGGGGUACGGUCCUGUAGGCAGGGCUGUGUGUGCCCCCCGUGUGUGCUUGGUGAGCUGUGUUCCGAGAGACCCCCCCCCCCCCCCCCCCCCCGCCCGUACUCGGGUGGGAAUGUGGCCCCGGCCUUUCAGAGGCACGGGGCUGCGAGGUGUGGGCUUGGGCUUGCGCCCUCCCUGGAAGUUGAGGCUGGGAUCCCGACUGCGGCCUUUGGCCGUGCCGCCCCGCUGCCUGGCUGCUGAGAGUUGUUCCUGCCGCUGGGGGGAAACCGAGCUCUGUGGCUCCAGGGGUGUCGUCCACCCGCCUGUAAUCAGGGUCUGGGUGCGCGAGCGUUUGUGCUCUGCUGGCAGCCUGUGUGGGGUGACCGCCCCGUUAGCGGGGUGUGGGUCGAGGUGCCCCGGACUGGGAGAGAAGGAGCCUCUCCCGGCCGUAGGGAUGGGGGCUGCCCUGUAAGUCAGGGAGCAACCGUGCCCCGGAGUCCCAGGCCCUUUGCGUUGGAGGCAGUGGCUGGGGGCCCCCUGUAAGCAGGGAAGCUGGCUCUUUGGCCGCUGCUUUUUGUACGCCCAGCCCCAUUUGCCCAGCCUGCCCGCCUCUGUGAUCCCCCGCAGCACCGGCUGGAAGUCCGCCGCGCGUCAGUGAGGAGCUGCUGCAGAAGAAAGAAGAAGCAGCGGCGUGGGGACCUGGGCUUCAAAUCAAGUUGGCAAUCUGUUUGUCUGUAUAUCUCAUUGUCAUUUUAUUUGGAGCCUCAGUGUGAAUGGUUUUUUAUGACUUUAUCAGCCUUUUUCGCAGCACAGUCAGCUGAGAAUAAAUUUUUUAUGUUGUUCUUCCU